rnacentral:rRNA from 1 species
CCUACGGGUGGCAGCAGUGAGGAAUAUUGGUCAAUGGGCGCAAGCCUGAACCAGCCAAGUAGCGUGCAGGAUGACGGCCCUACGGGUUGUAAACUGCUUUUAUACGGGAAUAACGUGCCUCACGUGUACCGUUUUGCAUGUACUUUAUGAAUAAGGAUCGGCUAAUUCCGUGCCAGCAGCCGCGGUAAUACGGAGGGUCCGAGCGUUAUCCGGAUUUAUUGGGUUUAAAGGGAGCGUAGGUGGCUUGUUAAGUGUGUUGUGAAAGGUUGCGGCUCAACCGGGGAAGUGCAGUGGAUACUGGCAGUCUUGAGUACAGUUGAGGCAGGCGGAAUUCGUGGUGUAGCGGUGAAAUGCUUAGAUAUGACGAAGAACCCCGAUUGCGAAGGCAGCUUACUAAAGCGCAACUGACACUGAUGCUCGAAAGUGCGGGUAUCAAACAGGAUUAGAUACCCGAGUAGUC